CGGCCCAAAACCUUCCAACACGUCGAGUUGACACAAUCAACUCACCGAGUUCCACAGUAAACUUUCUUAAUAAAGAAUAAAUCUCAUACCUAGAAACCAGGAUGUUACAUUGUAUAAGGAAAUCACAUAGAGGGAUUGAUUGUGUUUAAUGGUCCAUACUUAAUGAAAUUAGGGCUUUUUGUGCCUGUUUCUUAUUGUUGAUCGGGGAAAGAAAAGUAACGAACUAAAGCAAUGGAAGAACACAACAAUACGGGAAAACACGAAGGCUCGCAGGCACGAUUUCGCCGAUCGAUCAUGAGAAGGUUCUUCUCUGGGGUUUGACGAGGCGAAGAGAGAAGAUGGGGAGAAGCAGCGAGGCUGCUUGCAUCCUCGUCUGGCUAUGAGAUGUGAAGGAUGGAAGGGUCCAAUGGAGGUCCGAUGAGGUGUCGUAAGCAGCAACAUUGACGAAGACGAGGUCCUCGUAGGUCGUUCGUUGGUGGGAAGAAAAGAGAGAUAGAGCAAGGGGCCAAAAGGGAAAGCGGUUUCAGGAUUUUCAGAUCGAGUGUUUUUUGUGGCUAAGGGGUUACGAAGGAAAAGAGAAACAAAAGGUGGUGAUGUUGGUGGUUUCGGUGGGUGCAACGAAGGCUGCUCAAGCAACUCCUCGGCUGCUUUCUUCUGUUAUGAUGGUUGCAGAAAUCAAUGGAGGAACAAAAAUGGAUUUUUGGGUUUGAUUUUUGAUAGGAGAAGGAGAAGGAAGAACAAUGGAGGUUUGAUGUCUCAUUGGUUUAACUGAUUUCACAAGAACAACACCUCCAAUGGAGGUGUUCUUGACUACUACAAAAACGAAAGGUAAAAAACGAGAGGGAAACAAAAGGUGUGAGGGGCCUGUUCCUGACAACUUCAAUAAAGAAUUUCUUUGUGUUUAAACUUAAGUAAAUUGAAGUUUGGAAGUAACUUCCAAUUUGGUUGUA